rnacentral:lncRNA from 1 species
AGAGAAUGAUUAUUAAAGAUAUACUCGUAUGUAUAUAUAUACAUUACCACUAUAUAUAUUAAUUUACAUAGAUAUAGUUUAGUAUUAAUGGAGACCUGCAUUCAAAAUUCCAUAAAUAUAGCUUAGUGGACACAUAGGAACAAUUUACUCAUGCACUAGUUCCAAGUCAAAACUCAAAAUCAUUCUCAGCAAAUGAUUCUAUGAACCGGCGGUAUUAUAAAACCAAAUAACGGUCUGGUUAUCGAAAAGUUGAAUUCCCAUGGGUUUAAAUGGUGCGACACGUGUUAUAAUCGCAACGGCGAUGUGUAGUGCGCUGGGUGUAGGUUAGACUCUUCCAAUUUUC